rnacentral:rRNA from 1 species
AACGAACGCUGGCGGCAUGCCUAACACAUGCAAGUCGAACGAGACCUUCGGGUCUAGUGGCGCACGGGUGCGUAACGCGUGGGAACCUGCCCUUAGGUUCGGAAUAACUCCCCGAAAGGGGUGCUAAUACCGGAUAAUGUCUUCGGACCAAAGAUUUAUCGCCUUUGGAUGGGCCCGCGUUGGAUUAGCUAGUUGGUAGGGUAAAAGCCUACCAAGGCGACGAUCCAUAGCUGGUCUGAGAGGAUGAUCAGCCACACUGGGACUGAGACACGGCCCAGACCCCUACGGGAGGCAGCAGUGGGGAAAAUUGGACAAGGGGCGAAAGCCUGAUCCAGAAAUGCCGGGGGAGUGAUGAAGGCCUUAGGGUUGAAAAGCUCUUUUCCCCGGGAUGAUAAUGACAGGACCGGGAGAAUAAGCCCCGGCAAACCCCGU